GGGAGGGCAAGGAAGAAGUCAGCUGUCUCGUUAAUCCCACCUCCUGAGCUUCAGAGGACCUUUGUCCCUGGGGGAAAAAUUUCAAUAACUAAUUUUCGAAUGCCUGCUAUGGAACUCGUAGUGCAAGAGGAUCUGGGCUACCGACAGUCAAAAACAGAAGGCAAGAAGUUCUUCUUGGUCUACAAGGAGCAAGUAACAUGGUCAUGGGUCAAGACACCCUGCUUCCUGGGAAAACCUUGUUUGUUGUUCUCACCACUAAUUCAAACCACAUAAAUCUUCCAUUCUUCACCGAGAGCAUCAGCAGCAAUUUCUGUGGCCAUACGCUUCUCAUAAAAGAUGAGGAAACCAAGACUCAGAAAGGAUAAAUAACUUGCUCGGGAUCACCAAGCUUUGUUAGAGCCAGGAUCCAAAUCCAGAGGAAUUGGCUGCAGAAUCCAUUUUAUUAACCACCAUGUUAAUAUGUUAAUUUCAUUCUUGCCAUUAAAUCAUUGUUAUUGGAGGUUGAUUUAUCUGGAAAUAAUGCCCUUUACCUUUCCAAAAUCAAGAAUUGCACGGACAAGCAGAAUUUUCUAAUGAGCUCUCCCUAAAGCUCUGUGGCUCUUCAAAGGACCCCUCCACACACACACACACACACACACACACACACUAAUCUCUGGGGCCAAUGAGUGAGUGCUAGUAGACCACAAAACAUUUGUGUGUGUAUGGCAAUGAU